UACGAAGGGGGCUAGCGUUGUUCGGAUUUACUGGGCGUAAAGCGCACGUAGGCGGACUAUUAAGUCAGGGGUGAAAUCCCGGGGCUCAACCCCGGAACUGCCUUUGAUACUGGUAGUCUUGAGUUCGAGAGAGGUGAGUGGGAUUCCGAGUGUAGAGGUGAAAUUCGUAGAUAUUCGGAGGAACACCAGUGGCGAAGGCGGCUCACUGGCUCGAUACUGACGCUGAGGUGCGAAAGCGUGGGGAGCAAACAGG
rnacentral:rRNA from 1 species